UACAGAGGUCUCAAGCGUUGUUCGGAUUCAUUGGGCGUAAAGGGUGCGUAGGCGGGUUUGUAAGUCGGAUGUGAAAUCCCUAGGCUUAACCUGGGAACUGCAUCCGAAACUAUAAAUCUUGAAUACCUCAGAGGUUGGUAGAAUUCCUGGUGUAGGAGUGAAAUCCGUAGAUAUCAGGAGGAAUACCGGAGGCGAAGGCGGCCGACUGGGAGAGUAUUGACGCUGAGGUGCGAAAGCGUGGGGAGCAAACAGG
rnacentral:rRNA from 1 species